GUUUCAGAAAGGGAUUUUAAACCUGAGAGAGAAGGGUAACUCCAGCCCGAUUCAGAAAGAGAGGUAACUUUACCUCAGAGUCAGUUACUAUGGUAACAGAGCCUGUGAACCUAACCUGGUCGGGAGC